GAUGAACGCUAGCUACAGGCUUAACACAUGCAAGUCGAGGGGCAGCAUGGUCUUAGCUUGCUAAGGCCGAUGGCGACCGGCGCACGGGUGAGUAACACGUAUCCAACCUGCCGUCUACUCUUGGACAGCCUUCUGAAAGGAAGAUUAAUACAAGAUGGCAUCAUGAGUUCACAUGUUCACAUUAUUAAAGGAUUCCGGUAAAGGAUGGGGAUGCGUUCCAUUAGGUUGUUGGUGAGGUAACGGCUCACCAAGCCUUCGAUGGAUAGGGGUUCUGAGAGGAAGGUCCCCCACAUUGGAACUGAGACACGGUCCAA
rnacentral:rRNA from 1 species